AGAUUAAGUUAUUAAGGGCGCACGGUGGAUGCCUUGGCACUAGAAGCCGAUGAAGGACGUUACUAACGACGAUAUGCUUUGGGGAGCUGUAAGUAAGCUUUGAUCCAGAGAUUUCCGAAUGGGGAAACCCAGCAUGAGUUAUGUCAUGUUAUCGAUAUGUGAAUACAUAGCAUAUCAGAAGGCACACCCGGAGAACUGAAACAUCUUAGUACCCGGAGGAAGAGAAAGAAAAUUCGAUCCCCUUAGUAGCGGCGAGCGAAACGGGAAGAGCCCAAACCAACAAGCUUGCUUGUUGGGGUUGUAGGACACUCUAUACGGAGUUACAAAGGACGACAUUAGACGAAUCAUCUGGAAAGAUGAAUCAAAGAAGGUAAUAAUCCUGUAGUCGAAAAUGUUGUCUCUCUUGAGUGGAUCCUGAGUACGACGGAGCACGUGAAAUUCCGUCGGAAUCUGGGAGGACCAUCUCCUAAGGCUAAAUACUCUCUAGUGACCGAUAGUGAACCAGUACCGUGAGGGAAAGGUGAAAAGCACCCCGGAAGGGGAGUGAAAUAGAACCUGAAACCGUGUGCUUACAAGUAGUCAGAGCCCGUUAAUGGGUGAUGGCGUGCCUUUUGUAGAAUGAACCGGCGAGUUACGAUUUGAUGCAAGGUUAAGCAGUAAAUGUGGAGCCGUAGCGAAAGCGAGUCUGAAUAGGGCGUUUAGUAUUUGGUCGUAGACCCGAAACCAGGUGAUCUACCCUUGGUCAGGUUGAAGUUCAGGUAACACUGAAUGGAGGACCGAACCGACUUACGUUGAAAAGUGAGCGGAUGAACUGAGGGUAGCGGAGAAAUUCCAAUCGAACCUGGAGAUAGCUGGUUCUCUCCGAAAUAGCUUUAGGGCUAGCCUCAAGUGAUGAUUAUUGGAGGUAGAGCACUGUUUGGACGAGGGGCCCCUCUCGGGUUACCGAAUUCAGACAAACUCCGAAUGCCAAUUAAUUUAACUUGGGAGUCAGAACAUGGGUGAUAAGGUCCGUGUUCGAAAGGGAAACAGCCCAGACCACCAGCUAAGGUCCCAAAAUAUAUGUUAAGUGGAAAAGGAUGUGGCGUUGCCCAGACAACUAGGAUGUUGGCUUAGAAGCAGCCAUCAUUUAAAGAGUGCGUAAUAGCUCACUAGUCGAGUGACACUGCGCCGAAAAUGUACCGGGGCUAAACAUAUUACCGAAGCUGUGGAUUGUCCUUUGGACAAUGGUAGGAGAGCGUUCUAAGGGCGUUGAAGCAUGAUCGUAAG
rnacentral:rRNA from 1 species